rnacentral:rRNA from 1 species
AUUGAACGCUGGCGGAAUGCUUUACACAUGCAAGUCGAACGGCAGCACGGACUUCGGUCUGGUGGCGAGUGGCGAACGGGUGAGUAACAUAUCGGAACGUAUCCAAUAAUGGGGGAUAACGAGUCGAAAGAUUCGCUAAUACCGCAUACGCCCUACGGGGGAAAGCUGGGGACCUUCGGGCCUGGCGUUAAUGGAGCGGCCGAUAUCUGAUUAGCUAGUUGGUGAGGUAAAGGCUCACCAAGGCGACGAUGAGUAGCUGGUCUGAGAGGACGACCAGCCACACUGGAACUGAGACACGGUGCAGACUCCUACGGGAGGCAGCAGUGGGGAAUUUUGGACAAUGGGCGCAAGCCUGAUCCAGCCAUUCCGCGUGAGUGAAGAAGGCCUUCGGGUUGUAAAGCUCGUUCGCAAGGGAAGAAAACUUAGCCACUAACAUUGGUUGAGGUUGACGGUACCUUGAUAAGAAGCACCGGCUAACUACGUGCCAGCCGCCGCAGUAA